rnacentral:RNase_P_RNA from 1 species
GAAGCAGGCCCGAUGGUCGCCCGCCAAUAGGCGGGAGGAAAGUCCGAGCUCCAAAGGGCAGGGUGCUCCGUAAUGCGGAGUCUACCCCCUCCUUAAUCCUCCCCCUUAAUAAGGGGGAGGGAAUGGGUGAGGGAGCAGAAGGAAAGUGCCACAGAAAAUAUACCGCCCUGUGCCGUAAUGGCACAGGGUAAGGGUGAAAAGGCGAGGUAAAAGCUCACCGCUCUGAUGGCAACAUCAGGGGCAUGGUAAACCCCACCCGGAGCAAGACCAAAUAGGUUCCGCUCCACUUGAUGGUAAGAAUGGCCCAUUCAAUAUUCUAUCUUAUGAUAGAAAGGCGGAACGGGUUAGGUCGCACGAUCCUGACAGCAAUAUCAGGACAAGAGGAAUGACCGUCAUCCACUCCAUCUUCAAGAUGGGAUGGACAACAGAACUCGGCUUAUGACCUGCUUCAGCA